rnacentral:rRNA from 1 species
AGAGUUUGAUCCUGGCUCAGAACGAACGCUGGCGGCGUGGAUAAGACAUGCAAGUCGAACGAGAGAAUUGCUAGCUUGCUAAUAAUUCUCUAGUGGCGCACGGGUGAGUAACACGUGAGUAACCUGCCCCCGAGAGCGGGAUAGCCCUGGGAAACUGGGAUUAAUACCGCAUAGUAUCGAAAGAUUAAAGCAGCAAUGCGCUUGGGGAUGGGCUCGCGGCCUAUUAGUUAGUUGGUGAGGUAACGGCUCACCAAGGCGAUGACGGGUAGCCGGUCUGAGAGGAUGUCCGGCCACACUGGAACUGAGACACGGUCCAGACACCUACGGGUGGCAGCAGUCGAGAAUCAUUCACAAUGGGGGAAACCCUGAUGGUGCGACGCCGCGUGGGGGAAUGAAGGUCUUCGGAUUGUAAACCCCUGUCAUGUGGGAGCAAAUUAAAAAGAUAGUACCACAAGAGGAAGAGACGGCUAACUCUGUGCCAGCAGCCGCGGUAAUACAGAGGUCUCAAGCGUUGUUCGGAAUCACUGGGCGUAAAGCGUGCGUAGGCUGUUUCGUAAGUCGUGUGUGAAAGGCGCGGGCUCAACCCGCGGACGGCACAUGAUACUGCGAGACUAGAGUAAUGGAGGGGGAACCGGAAUUCUCGGUGUAGCAGUGAAAUGCGUAGAUAUCGAGAGGAACACUCGUGGCGAAGGCGGCCUGCUGGACAUUAACUGACGCUGAGGCACGAAGGCCAGGGGAGCGAAAGGGAUUAGAUACCCCUGUAGUCCUGGCAGUAAACGGUGCACGCUUGGUGUGCGGGGAAUCGACCCCCUGCGUGCCGGAGCUAACGCGUUAAGCGUGCCGCCUGGGGAGUACGGUCGCAAGAUUAAAACUCAAAGAAAUUGACGGGGACCCGCACAAGCGGUGGAGUAUGUGGCUUAAUUCGAUGCAACGCGAAGAACCUUACCUGGGCUUGACAUGUAAUGAACAACAUGUGAAAGCAUGCGACUCUUCGGAGGCGUUACACAGGUGCUGCAUGGCCGUCGUCAGCUCGUGUCGUGAGAUGUUUGGUUAAGUCCAGCAACGAGCGCAACCCCUGUUGCCAGUUACCAGCACGUGAAGGUGGGGACCCUGGCGAGACUGCCCAGAUCAACUGGGAGGAAGGUGGGGACGACGUCAGGUCAGUAUGGCCCUUAUGCCCAGGGCUGCACACGUACUACAAUGCCCAGUACAGAGGGGGCCGAAGCCGCGAGGCGGAGGAAAUCCUAAAAACUGGGCCCAGUUCGGACUGUAGGCUGCAACCCGCCUACACGAAGCCGGAAUCGCUAGUAAUGGCGCAUCAGCUACGGCGCCGUGAAUACGUUCCCGGGUCUUGCACACACCGCCCGUCA